GGGUCGGUAGCUCAACGUGGUAGAGCGCCGGUCUCCAAAACCGGAGGUUGGGGGUUCGAAUCCCUCCCGAUCUGCCA
rnacentral:tRNA from 1 species